rnacentral:rRNA from 1 species
AUUGAACGCUGGCGGCAGGCCUAACACAUGCAAGUCGAGCGGAGCGGCCGACGGGCGAGUAAUGCCUAGGAAUGUGUCUGGCAGUGGGGGAUAACGUACGGAAACGGGCGCUAACUCCUACUACUCUCUGUCGAGUGUAGAUCGGAUUAGCUAGCUGGUGGGGUAAAGGCUUACUAAGGCGACGAUCCGUAGCUGGUCUGAGAGGAUGAUCAGUCACACUGGAACUGAGACACGGUCCAGACUCCUACGGGAGGCAGCAGUGGGGAAUAUUGGACAAUGGGCGAAAGCCUGAUCCAGCCAUGCCGCGUGUAUGAAGAAGGUCUUCGGGUUGUAAAGCACUUUAAGUUGGGAGGCGUUACCGACAGAAUAAGCACCGGCUAACUUCGUGCCAGCAGCCGCGGUAAUAC